CAGUAGCCGCGGUAAAACGAAGGGGGCUAGCGUUGCUCGGAAUGACUGGGCGUAAAGGGCGCGUAGGCGGCGAUCAAAGUCAGGCGUGAAAUUCCUGGGCUCAACCUGGGGGCUGCGCUUGAUACUUGGUUGCUUGAGUGGGGAAGAGGGUCGUGGAAUUCCCAGUGUAGAGGUGAAAUUCGUAGAUAUUGGGAAGAACACCGGUGGCGAAGGCGGCGACCUGGUCCUUGACUGACGCUGAGGCGCGAAAGCGUGGGGAGCAAACAGGAUUAGAUACCCCAGUAGUCCCUGUCUCUUAUAC
rnacentral:rRNA from 1 species